rnacentral:rRNA from 1 species
AACGAACGCUGGCGGCAGGCUUAACACAUGCAAGUCGAACGCCCCGCAAGGGGAGUGGCAGACGGGUGAGUAACGCGUUGGAACGUGCCCUUCGCUUCAGGAUAGCCCCGGGAAACUGGGAGUAAUACUGGAUACCCCGUAUUGGGAAAGAUUUAUCGGCGAAGGAUCGGCCCGCGUUAGAUUAGGUAGUUGGCGGUGUAAUGGACCACCAAGCCUACGAUCUAUUGCUGGUCUGGGAGGAUGAUCAGCCACACUGGGACUGAUACACGGCCCAGACUCCUACGGGAGGCAGCAGGGGGGAAUCUUGGACAAUGGGCGCAAGCCUGAUCCAGCCAUGCCGCGUGAGUGAAGAAGGCCUUAGGGUUGUAAAACUCUUUCGCCGGAGAAGAUAAUGACGGUAGCCGGAGAAGAAGCCCCGGCUAACUUCGUGCCAGCCGCCGCGGUAAUAC